AUGGCUUGCCAUCUUAGAUCAGUUAGUUUGCCUUCUAGGCCUCACACCAAGGUUGAAGAGGAGCUGCACAGCCUAGAGGCAAGCAUCUCUUCACCCUCCAUGACCAUCGAGACUAUCUCCGAUGGUUUGAGGAGGCUUGGAGACAUCUACAGCACCAUUGAAGAGAUCAUGUGCCUUCCUAGCAACCAAAUUUGCUCUUCCCAGCAAAGGAAGAUGUUGGAAGGUGAAACCGAGUGCUCCCUUGAGCUACUAGAUCUCUGCAAUGCUAUGUAUGAGGACUUCACCGAGUUGAAGGCCAUUAUCCAAGAUCUGUAA
rnacentral:rRNA from 1 species